CCAUAUUUCCAGAUCUUAUAUGUAAUUAUAAGCAAUAAUAAUAAUAAUAAUAAUAAUGAAAAGAGUGACAGGUGCACUAACACCUCAUAGCAUCAGUAACUCAACAACCCGACCUACCAAGUACAGUUAAAACACACCUCCACGUUUGCAUUGUCUGCACACAGGAGACAUCAGGCAGCUGCUGGAACAUCUCGCAUUUGGAGACUGUUGAUUUUACAUUUGAAAAAUUUGGUGAACCCCACAUCCUAUUGCCAUCUCAAUGCAGCUGUGCCAAUUCUUCUGCUGUGCUGUGCUUCACAAUCUCACUCUUCUCAAUGGGGAUGUUGUUGAGCCAGAGGAUGAGAAAGACCAUGAAGACACAUCACUGAACCCCACAACCUUGAGACAAGAGCAGGAGAACAUGUGCGGGACAAUCUGGCCAUCACCGCGUCUGCUCGACUACCUGUGAAACAUUUAAACAGAGUCUUUCUUUCUUCCCACAAAUGCUGCCGUCACCUGCUCCACCACAAAAGAUCUGCAGAAAAUACACAGAAAUCACAAAUCAAAAGUGCUGUAAUAACUCUGUUUGAUGUUACAAUAAAUAAAAUAAAG